rnacentral:tRNA from 1 species
GCCAGCAUAGCUCAGUUGGUAGAGCAAUAGUUUUGUAAACUAUAGGUCGUGGGUUCGAUUCCCUCUGCUGGCU